GAUGAACGCUGGCGGCGUGCCUAACACAUGCAAGUCGAACGAAGCACUUCGAUUUCUUCGGAAUGAAAAAGUGACUGAGUGGCGGACGGGUGAGUAACGCGUGAGCAACCUGCCUUACAGAGGGGGACAACAGCUGGAAACGGCUGCUAAUACCGCAUAAUGUAUUUUUGGGACAUCCCGAAGGUACCAAAGGAGCAAUCCGCUGUAAGAUGGGCUCGCGUCCGAUUAGAUAGUUGGUGGGGUAAAGGCCUACCAAGUCGACGAUCGGUAGCCGGACUGAGAGGUUGAACGGCCACAUUGGGACUGAGACACGGCCCAAACUCCUACGGGAGGCAGCAGUGGGGAAUAUUGGGCAAUGGGGGAAACCCUGACCCAGCAACGCCGCGUGAAGGAAGAAGGCUUUCGGGUUGUAAACUUCUUUUGUCAGGGACGAAUAAAUGACGGUACCUGACGAAUAAGCCACGGCUAACUACGUG
rnacentral:rRNA from 1 species